GAUGAACGCUGGCGGCGUGCCUAAUACAUGCGAGUCGAGCGAACAGACGAGGAGCUUGCUCCUCUGACGUUAGCGGCGGACGGGUGAGUAACACGUGGAUAACCUACCUAUAAGACUGGGAUAACUUCGGGAAACCGGAGCUAAUACCGGAUAAUAUAUUGAACCGCAUGGUUCAAUAGUGAAAGACGGUUUUGCUGUCACUUAUAGAUGGAUCCGCGCCGCAUUAGCUAGUUGGUAAGGUAACGGCUUACCAAGGCAACGAUGCGUAGCCGACCUGAGAGGGUGAUCGGCCACCCUGGAACUGAGACACGGUCCAGACUCCUACGGGAGGCAGCAGUAGGGAAUCUUCCGCAAUGGGCGAAAGCUUGACGGAGCAACGCCGCGUGAGUGAUGAAGGUCUUCGGUUCGUAAAACUCUGUUAUUAGGGAAGAACAAAUGUGUAAGUAACUAUGCGCGUCUUGACGGUACCUAAUCAGAAAGCAACGGCUAACUACGUG
rnacentral:rRNA from 1 species